GCGUCGAAUUACAACAAGUGUAGUAGACCUCACAGUGAAAUGCUGAAUACAACAGGUGUAGUAGACCUCACAGUGAAAUGCUGAAUACAACAGGUGUAGGUAGACCUCACAGUGAAAUGCUGAAUACAACAGGUGUAGUAGACCUCACAGUGAAAUGCUGAAUACAACAGGUGUAGUAGACCUCACAGUGAAAUGCUGAAUACAACAGGUGUAGUAGACCUCACAGUGAAAUGCUGAAUACAACAGGUGUAGUAGACCUCACAGUGAAAUGCUUACUUACAGGCUCUAACCAACAGUGCGAGAAAAAAAAGGUGUGUGUGUUUGUAGGUAAGUAAAGAAAUAAAAACAACUGGACAUUUGUAGCUGAAGUUUUGUAUUCAAGGGUUUGGAGCACCUAUCCACUUUCAGAUUUGUAAAUAUGUCUAUAAUUUUCUCUCAUGAGUUUUGUGCUUGUCUAAUGACUUUGUAUUUUGUAGCUGUUUCUCAGCAGUUUGUCAUUUUGUUACAGUGUUCGUGUCCAAAUUUGCUCUUGACAAUCUACAAGGUUAUGCAGGUGAACAGCCCUACGGUGGUGGUAUGGUUAUGGAAUGGGCAGGCAUACACUACACAAUUACAUUUUAUCGAUGGCAAUUUGAAUUCCACAGAGAUACCGUGACGAGAUCCUGAGGCCCGUUGUCACGCCAUUCAUCCGCCGCCAUCACCUCAUGUUUCGGCAUGAUAAUGCACGGUCCCAUGUCGCAAGGAUCUGGACACAACUCCUGGAAGCUGUUCCGGGUCCAUGGCCUGCAUUACUUACCAGACAUAUCACCCAUUGAGCAUGUUUGGGAUGCUCUGGAUCGAUGUGUACGCCAGUGUGUUCCAGUUUCCAGCCAAUAUCCAGCAACUUCAACCACAGCCAUUUGAAGAGGAGUGGGACAACAUUCCACAGGCCACAAUCAACAGCCUGAUCAACUCUAUGUGAAGGAGAUGUGUUGUGCUGCACGAGGCAAAUGGUGGUCACACCAGACACUGACUGGUUUUCUGAUCCACGCCCCUACCUUUACAAAAUAAUAAUAAAUGUAUUCCCAGUCACGUGAAAUCCAUAGAUUGAUUGGCCAAAUUUAUGUAUUUCAAUUGACUGAUUUCCUUAUAUGAACUAUAACUCAGUAAAAUCUUAGAAAAUUGUUACAUAACACAUUUAUAUUGAUAUUUUUGUUCAGUGUAAGUAUAAAAUCUAAAUGUGCUUUCAUUGAAUUAAAAAAAAAAGCAUGAAAAGGUAUAGAGUAAUGAGAUACUAUCUUACUGUGGUGUGUGAAGAAUCCAAUACGUUACCUUGUCUGUGGUACAAAUCACACUAUUGUGGAAGCACCUCCUCUAGGAGUUUGAAUGAGGUUGUUUGAGAAGGUUUUGAAUCCUAAGCAACCUGCCUACACAUUGUUUUAAAGUACAAUAGACCAACAUAGCUACUGUAGUUGGUCAAAAAGCUGUUGUGCUGGGAAAACCCUUGGUAGAGCAUGGGUGGAAGAGGCCUUGUGGUGCUGGGAAAACCCUUGGUAGAGCAUGGGUGGAAGAGGCCUUGUGGUGCUGGGAAAACCCUUGGUGGAGCAUGGGUGGAAGAGGCCUUGUGGUGCUGGGAAAACCCUUGGUAGAGCAUGGGUGGAAGAGGCCUUGUGGUGCUGGGAAAACCCUUGGUAGAGCAUGGGUGGAAGAGGCCUUGUGGUGCUGGGAAAACCCUUGGUGGAGCAUGGGUGGAAGAGGCCUUGUGGUGCUGGGAAAACCCUUGGUAGAGCAUGGGUGGAAGAGGCCUUGUGGUGCUGGGAAAACCCUUGGUAGAGCAUGGGUGGAAGAGGCCUUGUGGUGCUGGGAAAACCCUUGGUAGAG
ensembl:lncRNA